ensembl:lncRNA
AUAGAAAACAACUGAUACGACAGUGGGCUUCAGAACUCCUCCUCGUAACAUUUUGGAGAUUUGACAAAGGCGGACUGUCAUGAGAUGAAAGAACUGUUUGUACAUCUGCAUGUGACAUCUCAAUCAAAAUUAUCCUCCGCCACUCAUUCUGUCAAUGCCACCACUUUUCCCAGAAAUGUGACUGAAUGUGGCUCACUAGUGAGUCACUCUCGGUCCGUACCGAGAAGUGGCUGUUCUUCGCUCUCAGACUCUUCUUGGGUUAAGAGCCUAGAGUUUAAACCUCUGGUUCCAGUCAUAACUGAAUGAAGAGCCUGUGCCGAACUCUCACAAUCUCCGUCUGCACCACAUCUGAGCUGCCGGGUGAAAAAUCCGCCGCCGUCUUGACAUUGAGAAUAGUGAACGAGCAUGUCGACGCUGCUGGAUCUGAAGAGCAGUGUGCUGAGGCAGGUGCAGAGGAGCCAGUCCCUGAGGACCAGGAGGGAGCCACCGGCAAGCACCAGCGCUGGAGGGAGUCCCCCGCCGGUCACCCGCCGCUCUGGCACCGUCGUACACAGGUGAGUCUGUACCACAAGAGCUCACUCUCUCAAAACUAAGGCUGCCAUUACAACCUAAAAGGCUUUUACUGCUGAAACCGAUACUUUAUUCACGAGUCCUAUUCUAUUUGUACUUUAUAAAGCUUCUUGUUACCUUAUAGGCGAAGCGGAACACAGUCCAGGAUUGAAUACCACUGCUUUAAAGCACCAGUACAAAGAUUUAUGUUUUCUAAAGAAGUGAAUAGUUGUAAUCUCUAUAGAACAAUGAAAUCAAUUCAAUUUGUAUUUGUAUGUAUUGUAUACGCAUAUACGCUCACAACGUAUCAUUCCAAAGCUGCUUUACAAACAAUAGUGCCUUUUAAACCUCCCAGAAAGAAGGAUAAAGAUGACAGUGGAAAAAGUGAGUAUGUUUAAGGAAGUGGGGAAGAAAGUUCGGAAAGGCCAUGGCUGUGGAGGCCUACAUUCUCACUUUGACACAUGCGUACAACAUAGACAACA